rnacentral:rRNA from 1 species
CCUACGGGCGGCUGCAGUGAGGAAUAUUGGUCAAUGGGCGCGAGCCUGAACCAGCCAAGUCGCGUGAGGGAAGACGGUCCUAUGGAUUGUAAACCGCUUUUGUCGGGGAGCAAAAGACGCCACGCGUGGCGUUCCGAGAGUACCCGAAGAAAAAGCAUCGGCUAACUCCGUGCCAGCAGCCGCGGUAAUACGGAGGAUGCGAGCGUUAUCCGGAUGUAUUGGGUUAAAAGGGUGCGCAGGCGGAAGAUCAAGUCAGCGGGAAAAUUAAGAGGCUCAACCUCUUCGAGCCGUUGAAACUGGUUUUCGUGAGUGAGCGGGAAGUAUGCGGAAUGCGUGGUGUAGCGGUGAAAUGCAUAGAUAUCACGCAGAACUCCGAUUGCGAAGGCAGCAUACCGGCGCUCAACUGACGCUCAUGCACGAAAGUGUGGGUAUCGAACAGGAUUAGAUACCCUUGUAGUC